AAUACUAUUUCAGUUUUUCUACUUCAAAAAUUCAUGUUUAAUUCAGUGUUACUUGCUGUUUCUUUGUAAUUGUGAAAUGCACUAGCAAAGUGACAAUUGUUAAAAAAUCAAUUGUAAAAAAGUUCAAUGUGCCUAUAUUUAUCUGUUCUUACAGAGAAAAAAGAAGAAGUGGCAGUGAGACUAAAAAGAGACGAAACCUGUCUUACAUCAGCCUCUAAUUGGAGUGAAGAGGCCCAAACCCCUCGUUAGGGCAGAAGUGUGCAGCCCACCAGCAGAGGCACGACACGUGUCCACGGCCAGCAAUUAG
ensembl:lncRNA